rnacentral:tRNA from 2 species
UAUGCAAUGAACUUAAAAUUCAUUUAUAAAGAACAAUCUUUUUUUAGAAA